UGGGGAAUUUUGGACAAUGGGGGCAACCCUGAUCCAGCAAUGCCGCGUGUGUGAAGAAGGCCUUCGGGUUGUAAAGCACUUUUGUCCGGAAAGAAAUCCCUUGCCCUAAUACGGCGGGGGGAUGACGGUACCGGAAGAAUAAGCACCGGCUAACUACGUGUCAGCAGCCGCGGUAAUACGUAGGGUGCGAGCGUUAAUCGGAAUUACUGGGCGUAAAGCGUGCGCAGGCGGUUUUGUAAGACAGGCGUGAAAUCCCCGAGCUCAACUUGGGAAUGGCGCUUGUGACUGCAAGGCUAGAGUAUGUCAGAGGGGGGUAGAAUUCCACGUGUAGCAGUGAAAUGCGUAGAGAUGUGGAGGAAUACCGAUGGCGAAGGCAGCCCCCUGGGACGUCACUGACGCUCAUGCACGAAAGCGUGGGGAGCAAACAGGAUUGGAUACCCUGGUAGUCCACGCCCUAAACGAUGUCAACUAGUUGUUGGGGAUUCAUUUCUUCAGUAACGUAGCUAACGCGUGAAGUUGACCGCCUGGGGAGUACGGUCGCAAGAUUA
rnacentral:rRNA from 1 species